rnacentral:rRNA from 1 species
CUACCUACGGGGGGCAGCAGUGGGGAAUAUUGGACAAUGGGGGGAACCCUGAUCCAGCGACGCCGCGUGAGUGAAGAAGUAUUUCGGUAUGUAAAGCUCUAUCAGCAGGGAAGAAAGAAAUGACGGUACCUGACUAAGAAGCCCCGGCUAACUACGUGCCAGCAGCCGCGGUAAUACGUAGGGGGCAAGCGUUAUCCGGAUUUACUGGGUGUAAAGGGGGCGCAGACGGCGAUGCAAGCCAGGAGUGAAAGCCCGGGGCCCAACCCCGGGACUGCUCUUGGAACUGCGUGGCUAGAGUGCAGGAG